UUGGAGGGCAAGUCUGGUGCCAGCAGCCGCGGUAAUUCCAGCUCCAAUAGCGUAUAUUAAAGUUGUUGCAGUUAAAAAGCUCGUAGUUGAAUUUCGGGGUUCUACCGUUGGUCGGGCUUUGUCUGUACUGGUGUGUAGAAUUUCUACCUUCUGGGGAACCAUCAUGCUAUUAAUUUAGCGUGGUGGGAAACCAGGACCUUUACCUUGAAAAAAUUAGUGUGUUCAAAGCAGGCUUAUGUCUGAAUACAUUAGCGUGGAAUAAUAGAAUAGGACGGUGGUCCUGUUUUGUUGGUUUCUGAAUCACCGUAAUGAUUAAUAGGGAUAGUUGGGGGCAUUAGUAUUCAAUUGUCAGAGGUGAAAUUCUUGGAUUUAUUGAAGACUAACUACUGCGAAAGCAUUUGCCAAGGAUGUUUUCAUUAAUCAAGAACGAAAGUUAGGGGAUCGAAGACGAUCAGAUACCGUCGUAGUCUUAACCAUAAACUAUGCCGACUAGGGAUCGGAUGAUGUUAAUUUUUUAAUUACUCAUUCGGCGCCUUACGGGAAAC
rnacentral:rRNA from 1 species